GGACAGUAUCCACUGUCCAGAGUCCUUUCACUGCCCUGAAGACCCCUGUGCUCCUCCUGUUCCUCUCUCCCUCCCCCUCCCCCUGAUCUUUUCACUGUCGCCACAGUUUUGCCUUUUCCAGAAUGUCAUAGACUUGGAACCACACAGUAUGUAGUCUUUUCAGAUGGGCUUUUUUCACUUAGUAACGUGCGUCCAAGUUUCCUCCGUGUCUUUUCGUGAGAGCCUGAGAGCUCGUUUCUCUUUAUCACUGAAUACAAUAAUUUUCCAUCAUCCCGAUGGGCCACCGUUUAUUCAUCGACUGAAAGGCAUCUUGGUUGCUUCCAAGUUUUGGCAAUUAUGAAUAAGUCUGCUAUAAACAUCUGUGUGCAGGUUUUCAUGCGAACAUAAGUUUUCAGCUCCUUUGGGUGAAUACCAAGGAGUGUGGCUGUUGGGUGGUGUGGUGAGAGAGUGUUCAGUUUUGUAAGAAACCGCCAGACUGUCUUCCGAAGUGGCUGCACCCUUUGACAAUCCCACCAGCCACCAACGGGAGUUCCUGGUCCUCCACAUCCUUGACAGCAUUUGGUGGCGUCAGUGUUUUGGAUUUAGGCCAUUCUGAUAGGUUCGUAGGGGCACCCCAUUGUUGUUUUCUUUACAUAUAUUUUUAAACAGCUGCUGUGGCCUGUUCUUGCACAAACUCAGCAGAUUGAAAUCGCUUAAACUGCAACCCCAUCAAGUGAUGAAUGAUAUUCAUGGGCACCUUCCACACUCCAGCUACUCGUUUAACCCGUGGGAUUUCUUAGCACGUCAGACACUUACGUAACCAGGCCGAUCUCCAUAAGAAAAAUCUUCCUAUUUAAAAAAAAAAUUAACAUACGGUAAAAUUGAUUUUUUAAAAAUCAACAUACAGUGAAAUUAAUGAACAGUCAAAAAUGAGUUUUGACACAUGAGUAGAUUCGUGGAAUCACCACCUCAAUUGGGAUACAGAACAACUCCGUCAUCCCAGAGAAUGCGCUCCUGCUGCCCCUUUGUGUCCACAUACACGGCCCUGAGCGAUUUCAGCCACACCUACAUGAGGUCACAAACGGUCACAAGCACAGAGGGACAGACCGAGAAGGGGCCAGUUCUGAGUGAAAAAAGCCAGUGGGGCUGACUGAGGCCAAGGAGGGGCGGGCUGGCUGCCGCAGGUUCCUCUCCCAGAGGAUGUUGUAACUGCCUUCAUCUCGUCUGAAACGGCUGUCAGGCAUUGUCUCCGCUGCUCGGAAUUUCUCCAGACAGCUCCUGGCCUGUGUGCUCACACGCCCGCUCUGCGGCUGCCUCAUUCACGUGGUGGUCAUGCUGCCAUGCGGACAGGCUGCAAUGGUAUGUCCCGAUUUUUCCAGUGUGGAUGGAGACACGCCGCGACUGAGAAUGUCCACCCGCAUGGCAUCCUGAUGGGCAGCGGGACCCACGAGAGGGAUGAGCUGAGGAAGGUGGUGCCACGCACACCCUGGCCCCCCGGUUGGGGCUCUACUUUGAAGCAACGUGAUACAAGCUACAGCGACAAAAUGCCACUUUCAACCCGUAGGUUUCAGUGAGAGCCCCACGGGUUCCCAGGCCAUCGAGUUGAGCCGGGUCCUCGUUACAAAUGCACCAAAAAGUCGACUUAUAUGAGUAACUAUCCAAGGCCUCAAAUCGGACCUGACUCUGUGUGGGGGGCUCCUAAUAACGGCCAAUUUCAGGGUCCAGGAUUCUGAGAAAGGAUAAGAAGCUUUCCUUUUCCGGAGCUGAAUGCAGGAGGGAGCGCAUCCUAAGACAGGGAGCUGAAAAUCCGGCAUGGCUUAGGUCCCUAAAGGCUAGAUGCUUUCAGGAUACGAGCUCGGGACUCCCAGUGACGCAGUGCGGCCUUCCUGUGACUGUAACCAGCAUCCCCUCCUAAGAACUAGAAGAAGGAGAAAAUUGUAUUAUUAUUAUUUAAAUUUCUAUCAUUGUAGAAAAUUAAAACCAUACAAAAGCAGCCAGGACCGUAUAAUGGACUCAGAUGUACCAUUACCCAGCUUCACGAAUUUAUCGCCAAUCUUAUCUACCCCAUGGACUUGCUCUCUUUUUUCAAAUUAAUUUUGGAGCAGAUCUCAGAAAUUGUAUCAUUUCAUCUAUGAGGAUUUCAGCACAUAGCUCAAAAGGAUAAGGACGGUCGCUUGUCCACUCGCCAACCAAGCUCAGCCAGGGGACCUGCUGAUCAAACACGGUUGAGUCAUCAAAACCGUAGCGAGGAAGCCCGUCAGUGGACAGUCUCGCUAAUGAUUCCGAGGGGAGUGUGGGAGUGAGGGAUUUGUACGGACUUGGGGUAAGGGCUCAAUGCCUUUAACACCGGUCUGUCACAGCACCAAACUGGUAGGGCCUGAGAAAAGGUUGUGAAUAGUUUAGGGCUGAUGAUCACCAGGAUGCUUAAGAUGACAGUAUAUAUGUGGGAGCUGUCUCCACUUAUUACCUCCCAAAGCUCCACCGUUUUACGUUCCAGAUGCAGAUCUGGAAUUUAUGUUGUACAUGAUGUUAGGCAGUGACUGAGUUUCAUUUUUUUCUAUAUGGCUGUCCAGUCGCCCAGCGUUAGGAAGUGAGAAGACCGUCCUCUCUCCACUGCUCUUCAGUGCCAUUUUUAUUGUAAAUCACCUGACUGUGUGUACUCAGGUCUGUUU
rnacentral:lncRNA from 1 species